GCGCACACACCUAUGUUGUUCAAAAAACGAACAGUUAUGGUUCUAAAUGAUUUAAAAAGGCCUACGGCUUGGCAAAACAUCCUCAUAGCUCCAGAACAAUAUGUUCGAAUGCCGAAUGAAGAUAAUUCCAUGUGGCAGAUUGCCAAAAACCUGAAGAUUUCAUACAAGGGUGUCUAUUACUGUUUUGAGAGAAGAGGGCAAACCGGAUCUACCCAGGAUAGAAAAAGAAGGGAAAUGCCAAGAUGGGCAACUGCAUAAGAAGAGAAAGACAUCAGAGUCAGCAGUUUGGCAAACUCACACCUUACAGUUUCACAGAUUACUUUUAUUUUGAAACUCUCCCUCUAAG